ACUAGGAAGGGCGUAGUAAUCGAUGAAAUACUUUAGGGAGUUGAAAAUAAGCAUAGAUCCAGAGAUUCCCGAAUAGGGAAACCUUUCGAACUGCUGCUGAAUCCAUGGGCAGGCAAGAGACAAUCUGGCGAACUGAAACAUCUUAGUAGCCAGAGAAAAAGAAAGCAAAAGU
rnacentral:ncRNA from 1 species